rnacentral:lncRNA from 1 species
GACAACGUGUUCGGGCUUUUUCCCACGGUGCGGAAGUGAUUUUUCGCUCUCUGCGAUGGAUCUUGAUUGUUCUUUGGGUUUACACUACGUUUAUGAGCUGUAAUUUGUUGAUGGUCUGCAGCUUAUCUUUUGAAGUUAGGAAAAACAUGAAUUCUCGGGCAAGAACAAACAACUCCGGAGGCGCCGCCUUAGAAGAUGUAACACUGACUGCCAAGGUUUGCAGUUUCACUCCUGAGCCAGUAGAAGACCAAACCACCAGAAGGAAGAAACUCUAUAACACAUCCGAACGUCAGAGGGAAUGAACUCUGGCUACACCGCAUCUAACGAUUGUAACACUCAUCCGGAGGACUUGUGGCUUUCUUGAAAUCAGUGAGAUCAAGAACCCGCCAAUUCCGGACACAAUGUUUUACGAAUUGUGUGUUAGUAGGAGUUGCUCCUUACAACUGCUAUUUCACAAACAUUUAUUCCUUGAUAUAACCUGCCACCACUAGAAUUGCAGUCACUGAUUCACCAAAAAUAAAUCAAUCAUGUCGUUUUUGCUGAUCUUAACUUGAGGUGCAGCUCAUAUUUUUUUCAAUAUUUAGUGUUAGAAGUGUUUGGAGUCCUUAUUUAGAAAUUUGGUGUUUUUGUGAUCAGACAUUUGCCAAGAAAAUUAACUCUUAAAUCAAUUAGUCUAGUCUAUGGUAGAAUUAGUUUUAUUUUGCUUAAAGUAAUAGUUUCCAAAAACCAACUGACAAUAAGUGAGGACUUCCUAUAUUUUUAUGCUUAGGUUUGAUGAAGUGGAUAGUCCCAUAGCAGUAUAAUUGGAUAAAAGGGGGUAUGAUCUAAUGGUUAUAAACUGGGGUGAACUUAGCAAAGCCUGUUUAUUCAGGUUCUCUUUGGCAUCUCUGUGUCUUCGUUUAUUUCCUCCAAGUACAUUUUCUCCCCUCUGAAUUGACGGUCUUAUCACCUACUUUAAUUGGAAGAUCAGGUAGCUUUCAUGGCCCGCUUCACGGAACAAGGGCCCAGAGAAAAACGUUUCUGCUUCUGCUGUUUUCUCAAAUGCCGAGGUGUCGUAUUUUGGGAGUAGUGUGACCUGAACCCAGUCAAAAGACGUCCGAGUCUUUCUAAUCUCUGGGUCAUAGGGUCGCCUUUGGCCUAUGCAUUGUACGUAUACAGUAUGGCAUUUCGCAUGUCUGUCCACUUCUAGGCGCACAGUCCAACUGGCUUUGACUGGUCAGGAAGGCCAGGCCUGGAUCUGGGGUUGGUACUAUAGGUUAGAUGUUUUCAGGUUUUGAAGGAGAAACAGGUCCCUUAAGGAUGAGAGCGAAUCAGAAGAAGACAGACAAAAAAGGAUUUAGGAUUUGUUCCAGAAGCUCAUUUCUGGAUUGACUGUCGUACCAAGGUUUGGCGAACGGCGGCAAGCGCUUGCCAGUUUGUCGAAGAGUGGAGAGGUCAGUUGUGCCAAGGAGUGGAGAGGUCUAAGAACUCUCCAGGAGCACGGAGGGUUUAUGCAGUCAUAAAUCGCCUUGCUUCUGCAUACUUUUUAUUCCGUGGAGGAUUCCGCCCGGGCGAUGGCGCCAUAAAUGCAGGAAAACAAGCUCCGUUUUGCUUUCAAUAUUGAUGCAUUUCUGCUCUAAGGCUUUGACACCACCCUGGGUGGCUGUGUCAAGAGAUGAAAGACAAAAUGAAAGAGGCCGCGGAAGCACAGACUGGCAGAAUUCCAAAACCCGAAAAACAAGCAAGGCACCAAAUUAACAAGCCCAAUCACAUUGGUUACAUUUCCCAGUAUUAUCGAAGAUCAAGCAAGAAAGAAAAAGACAGAAAACAAAUGCGAAACCACAGCUUCCUUGGCUCUUUUUGCCCAUAUGCCGAAGAGCCGAGCAUUGCCGCCAAGCAUUGGCACCGGC